rnacentral:misc_RNA from 1 species
GAUGAAGAACGUAGCGAAAUGCGAUACUUGGUGUGAAUUGCAGAAUCCCGUGAACCAUCGAGUCUUUGAACGCAAGUUGCGCCCGAAGCCGUCAGGCCGAGGGCACGCCUGCCUGGGCGUCACACGCCGUUGCCCCCCCCGCGCCCCGCACCCAACUCUUUGGGAGCGACCGCGGGGCGGGCUGAUGAUGGCCUCCCGUGCGCUCCGCCGCGCGGUUGGCCCAAAUACCGAGUCCCCGGCGACGUGCGCCACGACGAUCGGUGGUUGAGAGACCUCUGUCGCAAGUCGUGCGCGCCCGUCGCGUCACGCGGGCUCGCAUAGCGCCUCGCGUCGCACCCGGUGCGGAGCUUUCAACGCGACCCCAGGUCAGGCGGGGUUACCCGCUGAAUUUAAGCAUAUCAAUAAGCGGAGGA